UGCAGGUUGCAGAGUCAACGUUUUUUUGUUAUAUCUUCCUCCUUUACUUUGACAUCCUUCCCCCCAAAUAAAAAAUCAUCCAUCCAUGUCUUCCUCCGCUGGUGAUAGUCGGUUGUCUGAGGAGUCAAAGCCAUCAAAGAGGUGGGAUCUGGAUCCCAGCAGCAGAAGAUGGAUCCACGACGUGUUCUUGAGCUUCAGAGGGGAAGACAUGUGUGCUUCCUUCACAUCACCACUGCAAGCAAUCGAAGAGUCUCAGAUUUUAGUAAUUUUUUUCUCAAUAGUAUGCAGCUUCGCGGUGGUUUCUUCAAGAGUUGUGCCAGUGUUCUACUGUGUAGAUCCUUAUGAAGUGUGGCAUCAAACUAGGGAGUUUGGGAAAAACUUUGACCAACUUAUAAAUAGAACUUCAAUGCAUAAAGGUGAUUGGCGGGAACAAUUGGAGCCCGGUUGAAGGAAGGCGCUUUGUGGAUCACUCUUGACCUCACCAUCCUAGUGGAUUUACUAUACUAUCUCCAUAUAUCUGCUCACUACCAUCUUGGAACCUGACUCCACAACUAUGGAGGUCUGGGAUCGCUUGUCUGACAUCUUCCAGGAUAAUCAGAACUCUCGUGUUGUCACCCUUGAGCAUGAUUUUUCUACUACUUGCAUGGAGGAUUUUCCUAAUGUGUCUGCAGCGUCUCAAAAUGCUUUCUGACCAACUGAAGAAAGUCGUUGCUCCUGUCAGCAAUCAUCGCUUGGUUCUUUAACUAGUCUUUGGUCUUUCCGAGAAGAAGCUACCUUGAUCCGUCGGAGCAAUCCUAUCCCCACAUUCUUCCAGGCCAACUCUAUGCUUACCUUGGAGGAAUCUGGUCUUGCUAAAAUGCAAAGCACUGCCUCUCCUACAACUACGCAUACUACUCGACAACGGGACUCUGAUGACACUUCUUAGCAGCGCACCAAUCACCUCUAGGGAAAUCGUUCUUCCUCCUAUCGUAAUCGCAACAAUCAGAACCACAAUGGAGGUCGUGGACAGCGCGGUGGAUCUCGCUCUAACAAUCCCCAAGGACCCCCGCCUUGGCAGCAGCCACAGUAUUCUCCUUGGACCUAGUGGGGUUGGAUGCCUCCACCACGGGCGAUGUUUCCUUGUCCGCAUCCAUCAUCCUAAACAUACUCGGCCCAACGGUCCUUCACGCCAACCGAGUAUCCUAGGACAGCGUUCUCAGGCCUACUCUAUCAGCACUUCUCUAGAUCAUGCAGACAUUGUUGCAGCCUUACACACCAUGUCCCUUACCACUCCUGACAGCACUUGGUACAUGGACACUGACGCAUCUUCCCAUACUGCGGCAUCACAAGACGGGGACGCCUCUCCUGAGAUGUGACAGCUUUGCGAUCGCUACCCGGUCACCACUUCUUCCCAUUUUGUUGGUCUUGCUUCCAGUAUCUGGCACAUAUGUCUUGGCAAUCCCGACACCUCUGCUUUAAAUUAUCUUUGUAAAAAUAAGUUCAUUUGUUGUGAACCAUUGAGUUCAACUGCUGUUUGUGACUCUUGUGUUUUGGGCAAACAUGUUAAGUUGCCUUUUUAUUCAUCUCAGACUACUACUUUGAUGCCUUUUGACAUAGUGAUCUAUGAAAAUCUCCUGUUUUGAACA